GGUCGGGUGGCGCAACGGUAGCGUGUGGUCCUCCUAAGACUGAGGUUGUGGGUUCGAGUCCCACCUCGAUCG
rnacentral:tRNA from 1 species